rnacentral:rRNA from 1 species
GACGAACGCUGGCGGCGUGCCUAAUACAUGCAAGUAGAACGCUGAGGUUUGGUGUUUACACUAGACUGAUGAGUUGCGAACGGGUGAGUAACGCGUAGGUAACCUGCCUCAUAGCGGGGGAUAACUAUUGGAAACGAUAGCUAAUACCGCAUAAGAGUAAUUAACACAUGUUAGUUAUUUAAAAGGAGCAAUUGCUUCACUGUGAGAUGGACCUGCGUUGUAUUAGCUAGUUGGUGAGGUAAAGGCUCACCAAGGCGACGAUACAUAGCCGACCUGAGAGGGUGAUCGGCCACACUGGGACUGAGACACGGCCCAGACUCCUACGGGAGGCAGCAGUAGGGAAUCUUCGGCAAUGGACGGAAGUCUGACCGAGCAACGCCGCGUGAGUGAAGAAGGUUUUCGGAUCGUAAAGCUCUGUUGUUAGAGAAGAACGUUGGUAGGAGUGGAAAAUCUACCAAGUGACGGUAACUAACCAGAAAGGGACGGCUAACUACGUGCCAGCAGCCGCGGUAAUACGUAGGUCCCGAGCGUUGUCCGGAUUUAUUGGGCGUAAAGCGAGCGCAGGCGGUUCUUUAAGUCUGAAGUUAAAGGCAGUGGCUUAACCAUUGUACGCUUUGGAAACUGGAGGACUUGAGUGCAGAAGGGGAGAGUGGAAUUCCAUGUGUAGCGGUGAAAUGCGUAGAUAUAUGGAGGAACACCGGUGGCGAAAGCGGCUCUCUGGUCUGUAACUGACGCUGAGGCUCGAAAGCGUGGGGAGCAAACAGG